rnacentral:rRNA from 1 species
AACGAACGCUGGCGGCAUGCCUAACACAUGCAAGUCGAACGAGCCCUCCGGGUCUUGUGGCCCACGGCUUCGUCACGCGUGGGAACCUGCCCUUAUGUUCGGCCUACCUCUCCGACAGGGGUGCCAAUACCGGAUCAUGUCUACGACCCAAAGAUUUAUUGACUUUGGUUGGGCCCGAGUUGGAUUAGCUAGUUGGUAGGCUAAAAGCCUACCAAGGCGACGAUGCAUAGCUGGUCUGAGAGGAUGGUCAGCGACACUGGGACUGGGACACGGCCCAGAAUCCUACGGGAGGCAGCAGUGCGGAAUAGUGGACAAUGGGGGGAAGCAUGAUCGAGCAAUGCCGGGUGAGUGAUGAAGGCAGUAGGGAUGAAAAGCGCAUGUACCCGGGAAGAUAAUGACAGUACCGGGAGAAUAAGCUCCGGCUAACUCCGUG